UACGUAGGUGGCAAGCGUUGUCCGGAUUUAUUGGGUUUAAAGGGUGCGUAGGCGGCUUAUUAAGUCAGUGGUGAAAGACGGUAGCUUAACUAUCGAGGUGCCAUUGAUACUGAUGAGCUUGAGUACUGAUGAGGUAGGCGGAAUGGACGGUGUAGCGGUGAAAUGCAUAGAUAUCGUCCAGAACACCGAUAGCGAAGGCAGCUUACUAAGGAGUAACUUACUCUCAUGCACUAAAGUUUGGGGUUCAAACAGG
rnacentral:rRNA from 1 species